AUUUAAAACAACAGUGUUCCUUGUAUAAUUGAAAGUGUCUUUCUUCCUCUCUAAAGGGGGAUGCUGGGUAGCGAGUAGAGGGAGAAACUUCCAUUCUUCUGGCUUCUUGUUUCCUUAUGGAAUAAGGAGUGGGUUAUUUGAUUGGUGAAUCUGGGAGAAGGAAUAGAGCAUGUAUAGCUACUUUCUUCUUCUUUUCUUUUGGGCCCUUUUUACCUUCAGAGAGCAUGUGCUUUUUAUUGUUUUUGGCCACAUGGUAAGGUAUUUGACAGCUGUGUCUCUCAAUUGGUUCCAUACGUGGUGCAGAAGAGAUGCAUUUUCUUUUUUUGAGACAGGGUCUCACUCUAUCACCCAGGCUGGAGUGCAGUGGCAUGAUCACAACUCACUGAAGCCUUGACCUCCUGAGCUCAAGCCAUCCUGCCACCUCAUCCUCCACGUAGCUGUGUUACUGGAAAGGGGUCCUGAUCCAGACUCCAAAAGAGCGUUCUUGGACCUUACAUAAGAAAGAAUUUCAGGUGUCACCUGGACUGAUCUCGCUCUUCA
rnacentral:lncRNA from 10 species